rnacentral:rRNA from 1 species
AUAUACGACCGUACCGCAAACCGACACUGGUGCGCGAGAUGAGUAUUCUAAGGCGCUUGAGAGAACUCAGGAGAAGGAACUCGGCAAAUUGACACCGUAACUUCGGAAGAAGGUGUGCCUUAUUAGUGUGAAGUGAACAACGGAGCAUGAAUGGGUUGCAAAAAAUCGGUGGCUGCGACUGUUUAUUAAAAACACAGCACUCUGCAAACACGAAAGUGGACGUAUAGGGUGUGACGCCUGCCCGGUGCUGGAAGAUUAAAUGAUGGGGUGCAAGCUCUUGAUUGAAGUCCCAGUAAACGGCGGCCGUAACAAUAACGGUCCUAAGGUAGCGAAAUUCCUUGUCGGGUAAGUUCCGACCUGCACGAAUGGCGUAACGAUGGCCACACUGUCUCCUCCUGAGACUCAGCGAAGUUGAAAUGUUUGUGAUGAUGCAAUCUCCCCGCGGAAAGACGGAAAGACCCCAUGAACCUUUACUGUAGCUUUGUAUUGGACUUUGAACAGAUCUGUGUAGGAUAGGUGGGAGGCUUUGAAGCAGGGUCGCUAGAUCUUGUGGAGCCAACGUUGAAAUACCACCCUGGUGUGUUUGAGGUUCUAACCUAGGUCCAUUAUCUGGAUCGGGGACAGUGCAUGGUAGGCAGUUCGACUGGGGCGGUCUCCUCCCAAAGCGUAACGGAGGAGUUCGAAGGUACGCUAGUUACGGUCGGACAUCGUGACGAUAGUGCAAUGGCAUAAGCGUGCUUAACUGCGAGACUGACAAGUCGAGCAGAUGCGAAAGCAGGACAUAGUGAUCCGGUGGUUCUGUAUGGAAGGGCCAUCGCUCAACGGAUAAAAGGUACUCUGGGGAUAACAGGCUGAUACCGCCCAAGAGUUCAUAUCGACGGCGGUGUUUGGCACCUCGAUGUCGGCUCAUCUCAUCCUGGGGCUGUAGCCGGUCCCAAGGGUAUGGCUGUUCGCCAUUUAAAGAGGUACGUGAGCUGGGUUUAAAACGUCGUGAGACAGUUUGGUCCCUAUCUUCCGUGGGCGCUGCAGAUUUGAGGAAGCCUGCUCCUAGUACGAGAGGACCGGAGUGGACACACCUCUGGUGUAUCGGUUGUCACGCCAGUGGCAUUGCCGAGUAGCUAAGUGUGGAAGAGAUAACCGCUGAAAGCAUCUAAGCGGGAAACUCGUUUCAAGAUGAGAUCUGCCGGGGCCUUGAGCCCCCUGAAGAGUCGUUCAAGACCAGGACGUUGAUAGGUCAGGUGUGGAAGUGAAAAAA